rnacentral:rRNA from 1 species
UACGGAGGGUGCAAGCGUUGCUCGGAAUCACUGGGCGUAAAGCGACCGCAGGCGGUCUGACAAGUCGGAUGUGAAAGCCCUGGGCUCAACUCAGGAAUUGCAUUCGAAACUGGCAGACUUGAGUACGGGAGAGGGGGGUGGAAUUCCUGGUGUAGGGGUGAAAUUCGUUGAUAUCAGGAGGAACACCGGCGGCGAAGGCGGCCCCCUGGCCCGCAACUGACGCUCAUGGUCGAAAGCCAGGGGAGCAAACGGG